GGAAAACUUGUUAUGGCUUGCGUUUAGAUGUUCCCCCAAAGCUUCAUGCUUUCUCAGAGGUAGCUGGAUCUAGAGUGUCUGAUGCUGGAAUUGAUUCAUGAUGCAAUGCUAGACUCAAGGGCACUAGGAUUAAGGCUGUGAGUGCUACCCACUCUAAGUAGCCUACAUAAAGAAUAAAAGGGGCAGAAAGAAGCUGUUAAGUUUCCCUUGUUGCUGUUGGUGUCUUCUGCUGCCAUGAACUAUUGCUCCUCUGCCAUGCCACUCUGCCUUGGAGCCAGCUGAUUAUGGACUGAAACCUCUACAAACUCUGAGCAGAGAGCGGUCUGCAGGAAGGAAGCCAUUACCCUCCGGACAGAGCCUUGCAGCAAAGCUCAAGACAAAGGCCCAGGCCAAGUUUAGAGGCAGAUCUAAGAAAACAGGCCCACACUCACUGGAUGGCCCGAACUAUAAACUGCCUCAGUGGUCUUGGAAGCCAUCUAGUAAAAUUAACAGGAGCUAUAAGACUGGCCAUACCCAUUGACUCAGGGCCUUCACCUUUGGGACAUUUCUGCCAGGAAAAAAAGACAACAGAGAAGACCAUCAAACGUCUUUUGCUGCCAGGCAUGGUGGCACAGACCUGUAAUCUCAGCACUCAGGAGGCUGAAGCAGGAGGAUUGCUGGGAAUUCAAGGCUAGCCUAGUCUAUAUAGUGAGUUCAAGGCCACCCUGAACUACAUAGGAAGAAUUUGCCUCAAAAAUAAAUAAAUCAAUAAAUAAAGUCCUUUGCAAGGCCUUGUGUAUCAUAUGUAAAAAGUUUAAAACAAUUUUAAGAUAUAGCACUGCUCCGAGUGCAGAGGAGGUGAGCCACGUGGUUGCCAGCAGCAUCUUCUCCCCAGCCCCAUAAAAAUGAGAAGACACAUAAACAAGGCUCAAAAACAGACUUUCAGAUCACCUGAAGCAACCCCAAAGGGAAAUGAGAUGGAACGCUCUGAUACUCAACCACCUGGACUCCAUGAACUGACAACAAAAGAGGAUCUGGAAAAAAUGAAAUCAGAAAUAAUUUCUCAGAUAACAGCAGAGAUUGUGCCCAUAGUGCAAGAUAUGAUUAAUAAAUCUAGAGAGGAUGCAAAAUAAAAAAAAUAGAGGAGCUGAGGAACAGGAUGGAAUCCCAACAUAGGAAACAAAUGGAAUCCAUAAAACAGAUAUGAACAGAUUUCCAGGAGAUUAAAAACUCCAUUGAAAGUUUACGCAGCAGAAUGAGCCAAUGUGAGGACAGAAUUUCAGAUACAGAAGAUAAGACUGCAAUUGGUGACAAGGCAAAGAAAAAUUUCUUUAAAAUUGUAAGGAACCAUGUGAAAUCAAUCCAGCAGCUGCUAGACGAUGCAAAGAAGAAUAACAUAAGACUGAUUGGAGUCAAUGAAGAAACAGGAGAGUGUCCAGAUGACAUAAAAAAACUUUUCACAGAAGUGAUGGCAGAAAACAUCCCAAGGAGGGGAAAAGAACUUGACAUACAGAUAAGUGAGGCAUAUAGGAAUCCAACUAGCCUUGAUCAAAAAAAUCUACACAUAGGCAUAUAAUAGUUAGGAUUCCAGAAAUCCAACAGAAGAACAAAAUUCUACAAGCAGUUAGAGAAAAGAAACAAAUCACAUACAAAGGAAAGGAAAGCCCAUCAGAAUCACAGCAAACUUCUCAGUGCAAACCAUCAAGGCAAGAAGAGCUUGGAGUGAUGUAUUUCAAGGUCUAAAGGAAAACAGCCUCCAACCCAGACUGAUGUACCCUGCAAAACUAUCUUUCAAAAUUGAUGGAGAAAUAAGAUACUUUCAUGAAAAAGAGCACCUUAGGAACUUCAUGAAUACGAAACCAGCACUCCAAAAAAUUUUAGACAAUAUCCUAGGAAAAGACAAUGAGGAUCACAACCCCAGGAAACCCAGCAGAAUGAAUCCAUUGGGGGCACAAGAAAUUAAAUGGAAAGGGGGAGAAUCCAACAAACAGAAAAAGUCAUGACAAUGAUAAGUCAGUAUGCACCCAUUAUAACCAUCAAUGUUAAUGGUCUCAAUUCAACAUUCAAAAGAAAUAGACUGGCAGAAUGGGUCAAGAAGCAAGAUCCAACAAUACGCUGCAUACAAGAAACACACUUAAUUCAAAAAGAAACUUAUAGACUGAAAGUUAAAGGGUAGAAAACAAUACUCCAUGUGACAGGAACCCGAAAAAAAGCAGGAGUAGCUAUUCUCCUUGCAGAGCAAGUGGAUUUCAAACUAAAACCUGAAACACUUCUGGUCCCAAGAAUUUCAGAUAAGGGAUAGUUAACUCAUAUGUACAAAUCUAUUGUGAACAUGUGUUUUCAUUCCUCUUAAGUAAAAUCUUAAGAACAGAAAUGUUGGUUCUUAACAGUAAUACAAGUAAUUUCUGUAUUGUUUUCCAAAAUAGUUUUAUCAUCUUAACAUUCACAUUAGCAGUAUUCAAAAGUUCUAACUGGUUCACACCUAAACUGACAUCUGUUCUUUUAAAACUUUUAACUUCAUCUCCCUAAUGAGUGUAUAAUAUGACCUUGUUAUUGUACUGAUUAGUAUUUUUCUGAUUCUAGUGUUGCACACCUUUCCUUGUGCUGUACUAGCUAUUUAUCAUCUUCUUGUGUUUACUUUUUGAUUAGGUUGUCUAUUAAUGAGCUGUAAGAGUUCUCUUUACAUAUU
rnacentral:lncRNA from 1 species